rnacentral:rRNA from 1 species
UACGGAGGGUGCAAGCGUUGUCCGGAAUUAUUGGGCGUAAAGAGCUCGUAGGCGGCCUGUUGCGUCCGCUGUGAAAGCCCGGGGCUUAACCCCGGGUCGGCAGUGGAUACGGGCAGGCUAGAGGUAGGUAGGGGAGAAUGGAAUUCCCGGUGUAGCGGUGAAAUGCGCAGAUAUCGGGAGGAACACCGGUGGCGAAGGCGGUUCUCUGGGCCUUACCUGACGCUGAGGAGCGAAAGCGUGGGGAGCGAACAGG